UAAAAACGAAUAUUCUUGCUCAGUAUAUAUGUAGGGAUAGGGCCUACACGUUUCUACCAGACAGCCGUAAACUGUCUGACUACUUGGGGAAGUUUACUUAGG
rnacentral:ncRNA from 2 species